rnacentral:rRNA from 2 species
UACACAUGCAAGUCGAACGCAUCCUUCGGGGUGAGUGGCAGACGGGUGAGUAACGCGUGGGAACGUGCCCUUCAGUUCGGGAUAACCCAGGGAAACUUGGGCUAAUACCGGAUACGUGCGAGAGCAGAAAGAUUUAUCGCUGAAGGAUCGGCCCGCGUCUGAUUAGCUAGUUGGUGGGGUAAUGGCCCACCAAGGCGACGAUCAGUAGCUGGUCUGAGAGGAUGAUCAGCCACAUUGGGACUGAGACACGGCCCAAACUCCUACGGGAGGCAGCAGUGGGGAAUAUUGGACAAUGGGCGCAAGCCUGAUCCAGCCAUGCCGCGUGAGUGAUGAAGGCCUUAGGGUUGUAAAGCUCUUUCGUCCGGGACGAUAAUGACGGUACCGGAAGAAGAAGCCCCGGCUAACUUCGUGCCAGCAGCCGCGGUAAUACGAAGGGGGCUAGCGUUGUUCGGAAUCACUGGGCGUAAAGGGCGCGUAGGCGGCUUUAUAAGUCGGGGGUGAAAGCCUGUGGCUCAACCACAGAAUUGCCUUCGAUACUGUAGAGCUUGAGACCGGAAGAGGUAAGUGGAACUGCGAGUGUAGAGGUGAAAUUCGUAGAUAUUCGCAAGAACACCAGUGGCGAAGGCGGCUUACUGGUCCGGUUCUGACGCUGAGGCGCGAAAGCGUGGGGAGCAAACAGGAUUAGAUACCCUGGUAGUCCACGCCGU